GAUGAACGCUGGCGGCGUGCCUAAUACAUGCAAGUCGAGCGAACAGACGAGGAGCUUGCUCCUCUGACGUUAGCGGCGGACGGGUGAGUAACACGUGGAUAACCUACCUAUAAGACUGGGAUAACUUCGGGAAACCGGAGCUAAUACCGGAUAAUAUAUUGAACCGCAUGGUUCAAUAGUGAAAGACGGUUUUGCUGUCACUUCUAGAUGGAUCCGCGCCGCAUUAGCUAGUUGGUAAGGUAACGGCUUACCAAGGCAACGAUGCGCAGCCGACCUGAGAGGGUGAUCGGCCACACUGGAACUGAGACACGGUCCAGACUCCUACGGGAGGCAGCAGUAGGGAAUCUUCCGCAAUGGGCGAAAGCCUGACGGAGCAACGCCGCGUGAGUGAUGAAGGUCUUCGGAUCGUAAAACUCUGUUAUUAGGGAAGAACAAAUGUGUAAGUAACUAUGCACGUCUUGACGGUACCUAAUCAGAAAGCCACGGCUAACUACGUG
rnacentral:rRNA from 1 species